rnacentral:rRNA from 1 species
GUCCACGCCGUAAACUAUGGGUGCUAGCCGUCGGAUAGCUUGCUAUUCGGUGGCGCAGCUAACGCAUUAAGCACCCCGCCUGGGGAGUACGGCCGCAAGGUUAAAACUCAAAGGAAUUGACGGGGCCCGCACAAGCGGUGGAGCAUGUGGUUUAAUUCGACGCAACGCGAAGAACCUUACCAGCUCUUGACAUUUCCUGAUUGGUUCCAGAGAUGGGAUUGUCCUAGCAAUAGGCAGGAGGACAGGUGCUGCAUGGCUGUCGU